rnacentral:lncRNA from 10 species
UUACCUUCAUUUAUUUAGCAUAUGUAUUUCUGUUUUCCCAAUUGGAUUCAAAGCAUUUCAGGCCAUGACAACUUAUAACCUAAGCCAUACUGAAGUUUAUUUAAAUCUGUGUAAUUUUUUUUAUCCAUUCAUGUUUCUCACUGUUGAUACAGAGCAGUUUUCAAAAUAAGCCCCCCCUUUUCUUCAUCUUGCACCCACCAUUUUGAUCUCAAACUAAAAGGGUCAUUUAAUUUUCUGCUUCAAACAUCAACCCUCCCAAUUACCACAGUACUUCUUCUUUAAGUGCAUGACAAUCGGGCAGGUUUUAUUCACAUUUUUUAAGAAGGGAUGUCUGUUUGAUAUUCUGCCUUUGUGUAUUCAUCGGCAAAAGUCUAUAUAAUUUCCCGUAAUGGUCUUGGUUUAUUUACAAUUUCAGCAGUCGUAUUUGUUUAGGCUAAAAGAACGCCUCUGUGGGGUUAAGGAGAGCAGCCCUCUUUGCUCGGAGAAUUAUGUCACCUCCCUCUGUCCCAUUUCAGCCCAUGGAGUUCUUUUGACAGACAGCACGAACAAAUCUGCAUAAGGGAAAGUAAGUGACAGCUGGGGUCAGGCUCUCUCUGUUUAAUGACACUGCCAGUUACACAUUUUGAAUUGUUUAAAUAUGAGUCUACAGCUUCCACAAUCAUCAUUUCACUGGAUCCACUUUUCAUACCCAACAGCCAGGAAACUGACACGUAAUUACACACUUGCUGAUGGUAUCGCGGUGCCGAUAAUUAAAACUGCCACCCGAGGAUUGCGAUUGCGAGUCUACAGCUGGGAUGUUGUCAGGAGGCAGCAACUCCAGCAGCUUUUAACGCCAUCUCCUUACAGGUGGACCUCGAGUCCCAGCGCCGGAGGAAGCGGCGGCCUCCGCACAUCAUUCGCAACGUCUCACACAAAUGAAGAAAAUCUAUUAACAAUCCAAUAAGUGAAAUACAAGCACGAUGACCCAGGGGUUAAACUGUCUGCUUGGACGCAGGAGUUGGAUCCAUUAGGUAUUGUUCUUUUUUCUCCCUUUUGCUGUAUUUACCGAAAAGAUCGCCAAAUGGUCUCCCACUUCUGAGCAUAGCUUCAAGUUUUCACGGGUGAGGCUGGAGAUGAUGCGAAGGAUGGGUAGUUCAGCACCUGCCUGAGUUCUUUCCUGUAUCUGAUUAAAGAAAUAAGGGAGACCCAGGCUAACAUCCAGGCGUUGGCAGGGCUGCGUUGCUCCAGGAGGCUGCAGGAGAGAAUCCACGUCCCUGCCUUUACCUCCUGUGUGACUUGACUCCUAGUCUCUUCCUCCAUCUUUAAAGCCAGAGUGCUGAGCUGAGUCCCUCCCACGUGGCAUGUCUCUGAGGCCUCUUUGCCUCCCUCUUCCCUU